GACGAACGCUGGCGGCGUGCCUAACACAUGCAAGUCGAACGAGUCCACCCUUCGGGGUGAGGCGAGCGGCGGACGGGUGAGUAACACGUGAGCAACCUGUCUCUGUGCGGGGGACAACCCGGGGGAAACCCGGGCUAAUACCGCAUGGGCGGGGUCUUCGAGUGGAGACCCCGGGAAAGACGGCCUCUUCACAAUGCUGUCGUGCAGAGAGGGGCUCGCGGGCUAUCAGCUAGCUGGUGAGGUAAUGGCUCACCAGGGCAGCGACGGCUACGGGGUCUGAGAGGACGACCCCGCACAUUGGAACUGAGACACGGUCCAGACUCCUACGGGAGGCAGCAGUGGGGAAUUUUGGGCAAUGGCCGAAAGGCUGACCCAGCGACGCCGCGUGCGGGAGGACGCCCCUCGGGGUGUAAACCGCUGUCAGGGGGGACGAACCCUUCAGAUGCGAACAGUGUCUGGAGCUGACGGUACCUCCAAAGGAAGCACCGGCUAACUCCGUGCCAGCAGCCGCGGUAAUAC
rnacentral:rRNA from 1 species